rnacentral:sRNA from 1 species
AAGUAAAAACUCCCUUGUACCUCGUCCAGCCUCCAGUUCUGCUCGGCCCGCCCCCACUCUAUGGCCAUCUACAAGAGCAUGGACUACGGCAUGACCUGGACGCCCUUCCAGUACUACUCCAACGACUGCAAGAAAAUGUACACAAAGUCCCCCCACGCCAAGGUCACCAAAGCCAACGAGCAAGAGGCCAGGUGCUCGGAGACGUACAGCACCAUCGACCCGUUCUCCGGGGCCAGGGUCGGCUUCUCCACCCUAGAGGGCCGGCCCUCCGCAGGGGACUUCGACAACAGCCCCGUCCUCCAGGACUGGGUCACGUUCACCGACAUCAAGGUCGUGUUCAACAAGCUCAACACGUUAGGCGACGAGAUAAAGGACGACGAAGGCGCCAAGAGGAGUUACUACUACUCGCUGUCCGACUUCGCCGUUGGAGGACGCUGCAAGUGCAACGGCCACGCCUCACGGUGUGUGAAGGGCGAUGACGGCCGGUUAGCCUGUGAGUGCAAGCACACACGGCCCCGGGAUUGUGAGAAGUGCCAGAGGUUUCACUAUGAUCGCCCCUGGCAGAGAGCCACCAAGGGCCAGGCUAACGAGUGUGUGGCGUGUCAGUGUAACCUCCACGCCCGGAAGUGCCGUUUCAACAUGGGUCUGUACGAGUUGUCCGGCCGGAAGAGCGGGGGUGUCUGCCUGAACUGCCGGCACAACACCAAGGGACGCAACUGCAACUACUGCUCGGUGGGAUACUAUCGGGACCGGAGCAAGGACAUCAAGCACAGGAAGGCCUGUAAAG